GUUUCUUCAUACUCCUGAUACCCGCCGGAAAGUUGAUAAGUUUUCAUCCUAUCAACAAUGGCAGGAUUUGAUCUGGGCUCCGUGCCGUUCAAUUCCGACGGAUGGGGUCCACCGGAUUCAUCCGUCUCCGUCCCAAACCAAAUCUCUAACGCCCCUUUUGCCCCUUUCUCCCGCUCCGACAAGCUCGGCCGAAUCGCUGAUUGGACUCGGUCUCUCUCAAACCGACCUGGAUCUAACUCCAAGCAGAACCCUACUGAUUCCGCUUUCGACUUCUCCGGUGACGACUCCUUUGCUACACUCAACGCUGACGAAGAUUCAUCUUUCCGUCUCGUUGAUACUGCCGCUAAAUCCCAUCACCAUGGACAACAUCGUCCGAAGUUUAACCCUAGGUGGCGGUUCAAUCCACAUAAUAACCGUUCUCAGCUUCCACAGCGGCGCGACGAGGAAGUCGAGGCCAAAAAACGUGAGCAAGAGAAAGAAAGAGCUCGUCGGGACAGAUUGUAUAAUCUCAAUCGUUCAGGCACCAAUGCUGGCCAGAGAAGGGAAUCUGCGGUGUUCAAGUCAUCAGUUGAUAUUCAGCCUGAAUGGAACAUGCUUGAUCAGAUCCCGUUUUCUACCUUCUCAAAGCUUUCGUUCUCCGUUCCAGAGCCUGAAGACCUGUUAAUCUGCGGUGGCCUUGAGUUUUACGACCGGUCCUAUGACCGUAUUACUCCAAAGAACGAACGUCGUCUGGAGAGGUUCAAGAACAGGAAUUUCUUCAAAAUUACUACUACUGAUGAUCCUGUUAUCCGCCGUUUGGCUAAUGAGGAUAAAGCUACUGUUUUCGCCACAGAUACAAUCUUGUCUACUUUAAUGUGUGCUCCCAGGUCUGUUUACUCAUGGGAUAUUGUUGUUCAGCGUGUUGGGAAUAAGUUGUUUUUCGACAAGCGUGAUGGGUCACAGCUGGAUUUGCUUUCUGUGCAUGAAACUUCGCAAGAACCAUUGCCUGAUGUGAAGGAUGAUAUCAAUUCAGCUUAUUCAUUGAGUGUCGAGGCAGCUUACAUCAAUCAGAAUUUCUCGCAACAGGUGCUGAUUAGAGAUGGGAAGAAGUUGAGUUAUGAUGAGCCAAACCCGUUUGCAACUGAAGGGGAAGAGGUGGCAUCAGUGGGUUACAGAUACAGAAGGUGGAAACUGGAUGAUGAUACAUAUUUGGUUGCACGAUGUGAAGUGCAAAGUGUUGCUGAAGUGAACAACCAGAGAUCAUUCCUGACUCUGAAUGCCUUGAAUGAGUUUGAUCCAAAGUACUCUGGUGUCGAUUGGAGGCAGAAGCUUGAGACAC
rnacentral:misc_RNA from 1 species